rnacentral:rRNA from 1 species
AGGAUGAACGCUGGCGGCGUGCUUAACACAUGCAAGUCGAACGGUGAAGCCCAGGCUUGCUGGGUGGAUCAGUGGCGAACGGGUGAGUAACACGUGAGCAACCUGCCCCUGACUCUGGGAUAAGCGCUGGAAACGUGUCUAAUACUGGAUACGAACAGUGACCGCGAUGGGUACUAGGUUUGGUUAGGAAAGUAUUUUAGUUGGGUUUGGGGAUGGGGCUCGCGGUCCUAUCGAGUCGUUGUUGGUGAGGUAAUGGCUCACCGAAGGCGUCGACGGGUAGCCGGCCUGACGAGGGUCGACCGGCCACGACGUCGGGACU